AUGACGGUGCAACUCACCGUUCUUCUUCUCCGAUAUUUAUGUCGCAGUGCCACUGCACAUAAUCAUAUCUUCCACCAUCAUAAGUACACGCACCUCAUUCUCAUAUCUCCACCCCUCUCUUCGAUCUCAACUGCAACGACUCAAAUCAAACUUUUUCUUCUUUACUUCUAUAGAAAUGCUCUGACCAUCGCCUUCACAUACGCGUUUCGUCACGACAGAACUCAACUCAACCCUCUAUUCUUCGUUCAACAUGACAGAAUUUGUUCAACACGACAGAACUUCUAUGAUUCCACACCUCUGUCCCAUCUCAAUGUGCGGCUUCCGUCUUAUUGUUCUCGCUCUGAACAACAUAGUGGCUAA